rnacentral:tRNA from 1 species
GCGGGUGUAGCUCAGUUGGUUAGAGCACUGGUUUGUGGUACCAGGUGUCGCCGGUUCAAAUCCGGUCACCCGCCCCA